rnacentral:misc_RNA from 1 species
GAAAUGCGAUAAGUAGUGUGAAUUGCAGAAUUCAGUGAAUCAUCGAAUCUUUGAACGCACAUUGCGCCCUUUGGUAUUCCAUGGGGCAUGCCUGUUCGAGCGUCAUUUGUACUCUCAAGCUUUGCUUGGUGUUGGGUGUUUAUCCUUUCCACAGCGUCUGGAUUCGCCUCAAAGUCAUUGGCAGCCGAUAUGUUGGUUCUGAAGCGCAGCACAAUUCGCGGCUUUGACUCAAUAAUAUCAGCGUCCAUGAAGCAAAUUUUAACACGCUUGACCUCGGAUCAGGUAGGGAUACCCGCUGAACUUAAGCA